rnacentral:lncRNA from 1 species
GAAAGUCAGGAAUUGUUUCCCUGGGGACCAAUAGUGUCUACAGAGCUCUUCCUGCUGCUUCUUGUACCCCUACAUUUCGCUCAGCUCUCUAAAUUCAUCUCAACUCCAGAAGCCUUAUGGAAAGAUUCCUGUGGCUGACCCAGGAGUAGUGGUGAAUUUCUCCAUCAAAAUCUAGGCUGCAGGAGCAGAUCUGAAAAGGACAUGCCAUUCUUUUGCAACAGAAAAAUACCAGACUAAGGCACUCGAGAUUCUCAAAACUUCUGAUUGAAUGUGGUAUAUUUCAUGUUUACUCACUGCCCAUUAGCCAAAGCAAGUCACAUGGCCAAGCCUAAUAUCAAAGGGGUUGGGACAUAAGCUCCCCCUAUAAGAUGGUGCUUUAUGUCACAUGGCAACAGAGAGGGUAGAGAAUAACUGAAAAUGAUGGCACUAUGUACUACAGUAACUCUAUCCUGUUGCUCUGACAAGAUAAGAUCAAAACGUACUGAGCUCAUCUAAGUGUUAGAGAUACUAUAAGGAAUAAAGCUAUCCUUUUUUUAUGAAACUUAAACUCAGGUUGUGAUUCACCUAUUUCACUGCUCUUCU